UUAACAUGGUUAGACCAGCCAUCUCUUUUAAAAAAUAUUUUACAUGGCUAUUUUUUUUUCUAUUUUUAAGAUAUUUGUUAGUAUUAUUGUAGAGACAGAAUCUCUCCCUAUAUUUCCCUAGGCUGGUCUGGAAUUCCUGAUUAUUUUUAAAAAUCGAGAUGAAAUUCACAUAACAAUUGUCAUCUCCCCCCCAAAAUUACUGUAUACCCAUUAGCAGUCACUUUCAUUUUUUCUUCUCAAAGCCCAACUCCCCAAUUACUGAUCUACUUUCUGUCUCUCUAGAUUUUUGUUUUCUGGAUAUGUCAUAUAAACUGAUUACACAGUAUGUGGUCUUUUGUGACUGGCUUCUUUCACUUAGUGUUUGCAAAGCUCACCCAUAUUGUUUUACAUAUCAGUACUUAGGCUU
rnacentral:lncRNA from 1 species